UACGUAGGCAGCGAGCGUUGUUCGGAGUUACUGGGCGUAAAGGGUGUGUAGGCGGGUGUUUAAGUUUGGUGUGAAAUCUCCCGGCUCAACUGGGAGGGUGCGCCGAAUACUGAAUGACUUCGAGUGCGGGAGAGGAGAGUGGAAUUCCUGGUGUAGCGGUGAAAUGCGUAGAUAUCAGGAGGAACACCGGUGGUGUAGACGGCUCUCUGGACCGUAACUGACGCUGAGACACGAAAGCGUGGGUAGCAAACAGG
rnacentral:rRNA from 1 species